rnacentral:rRNA from 1 species
AGCAGCCGCGGUAAUUCCAGCUCCAAUAGCGUAUAUUAAAGUUGUUGCAGUUAAAAAGCUCGUAGUUGAAUUUCGGGAUCAAUACGCCUGUCGUGCCUCGGUACGUACUGGCAUCGUUGGUUUCUCCCUUCUGACGAACCAUGAUGUCAUUAAUUUGGUGUCAUGGGGAAUCAGGACUGUUACUUUGAAAAAAUUAGAGUGUUUAAAGCAGGCUCACGCUUGAAUACAUUAGCAUGGAAUAAUGAAAUAGGACGUUUGAUUCUAUUUUGUUGGUUUCUAGGAUCGACGUAAUGAUUAAUAGGGAUAGUUGGGGGCAUUAGUAUUCAAUUGUCAGAGGUGAAAUUCUUGGAUUUAUUGAAGACUAACUACUGCGAAAGCAUUUGCCAAGGAUGUUUUCAUUAAUCAAGAACGAAAGUUAGGGGAUCGAAGACGAUCAGAUACCGUCGUAGU